rnacentral:rRNA from 1 species
GCAUAUCAAUAAGCGGAGGAAGGUCUUGGUCAUUUAGAGGAAGUAAAAGUCGUAACAAGGUUUCCGUAGGUGAACCUGCGGAAGGAUCAUUAUCGAAUAAACUUGAACAGGCUGUUGCUGGUCCCAGGACAAUGUGCACGCUUGUCAUCUUUAUCAUUUCUCCCAACUGUGCACAUAUUGUAGACCCUGGAUUUGUUCCGAGUGGGGACUGCUGUGCUUCAAAAGAAGUCGGCUUUCCCCUUGAAGGUCUAUGUUCAUUUUUCACAACCUCUCGAAUGUGUUUAGAAUGUUGAAAUAAAGAAAAGUUAAUAAAAUACAACUUUCAGCAACGGAUCUCUUGGCUCUCGCAUCGAUGAAGAACGCAGCGAAAUGCGAUAAGUAAUGUGAAUUGCAGAAUUCAGUGAAUCAUCGAAUCUUUGAACGCRUCUUGCGCUCCUUGGUAUUCCGAGGAGCAUGCCUGUUUGAGUGUCAUUUAAACUCUCARACCACAUCAUUCAUUUGACGUGGCUUUGGACRUGGGGGUUGCYGGCUUUCUUCUCAGAGAGGCCUGCUCCCCUGAAAAGCAUUAGUGGUAUCUGGAGUGGAAAACCGCUAGGUGUGAUAAUACUGUCUAUGCCUUUGGUUAUGCCACAAUGUGCUGCUUCCAACCRCACAUUUUUU